rfam:Myotis lucifugus cont2.45956, whole genome shotgun sequence.
GUUUGUUUUUUACCACACAUGUACUAAAAUUGGAAUGAUACAGAGAAGCUUAGUAUGGCCCCUGCAUAAGAACAACAUGUAACUUUCAGUGUUCUGUAUUUUU